rnacentral:snRNA from 1 species
CAUGAGUAAAUCUGUUAUGUUUU